ensembl:lncRNA
CUGGUAUUUGGGUUACAAAGGUCUAUAUUGCCAAACAACUCUGUUUUAAAUAUUAUCUUUGCUUCAUAUUCAUACCUGAUAGUCUUCUCUGAGGGUACCAAUCAAAGGUCAAGACCUUUUUCACAACAUCACUGAUCUUCCUUGAAAAUCCAUGGAGAGUGGAUAGAUCAGAUAGUGGAGUGGUAACUGAAGAAAUAAAGAGGAAGUUGCUCAGGACAGAAGAUAAAAACAUGAGACAAAGGAAACAAACUGCUCUUGGAUAGGGUGCUUCUGAGGCUGGGAUUCUUCCCAGGGAAGACCACGCUGCGGAUCUACUGCUGCAUAAGGAGCCAUGCCAAAAGGACCAGAAAAGGCUUUGGAGUUCCUAACUGGUUUGGGACCAGAGACGGGGAGCACUUAACCAGAGCUCCACUCAGAAGACACCUGGAAUGGGGCUCAUCCCAGACUCAGCCAGGAGGGACAGACCUUAACCUUGGCUGGGACCCAGAAGGCAGAGGAUAGAAAAGAAAAAGGAAGUAAAGAGGAAAUAGAGAAAGCAAACUCUAUGUGGACUGAAAUACAACCUGCUGGGAAGACUGGAAAACGGUUUAGAGUCCUCUGGAUGCCAGAUGUGUUCGUGACCCAGCUACAAGGAAACUGGAUUCUUUCUGGUCACGUUGGAUAUCUGCAUGCGCUUCUAAGUGUUGUAUUGCAUAAAGGAUCCAGCUCCCUGACCAGGGAUUGAACUUGGGGCCCCUGCGUUGGAAGCAUCGAGUCCCAGCCUCUGGACAACCAGGGAAGUCCCUACAGCUCCAUUUUCAAUCAAGAACACUGAGGCUCAGUGGAGAGGUCCUGGUAAGGAACAAGGAACUAAUAAGCCACCACCAACCAGAAGAGUUCAGGAAAUGUCAAAAGGAGACACCACAUGUCCGACCACCUCCCAGAAUCCUCACUGGCAUCCAUCUUGGCUGAACAAGGUGUGCACCACCAGGAGGGAGUCUUAGUCAGAAUGACUGGAUAAAGACAACCCAGAAACUAAUCCCAUCACCAUAAAACCAAGACUGCAGCCAUGUGGCAGAGCAGUUCUCCUGUGUUCCCUUGCCCUACUGCUCUCCACCCAGGCACCCUUUCCCAAUAAAAUUUCUUGCUUUGUCUGCACAUGUAUCUCCUUUUACAAUUCAUUUCUGAGUGUUAGACAAGAGCCCAGUUUCAGGCCCUGGAAGGGGUCCCCCUUCCUGCAACAUUAUGACCAGAUAGCUUAAUAUAAACAUUUUACAAAAAAGGCAACCACUUUCAGAAAAAAAUGAAGAGAGUGCUCAAUUUAAAUAAAUACGUUUAUUUCCUGAUUAUACUCCAU